rnacentral:tRNA from 1 species
UGGCUGAGUGGUAAAGCACUUGGUUUCUGGACCAAGAAGUCUGGUUCAAAUCCAG